GCUCAGUAACACGUGGAGAACGUGCCCUUAAGUGGGGGAUAAUCUCGGGAAAUUGAGGAUAAUACCCCAUAGAUCAUGGCAUCUGGAAUGAGUCAUGGUUGAAAGUUCCGGCGCUUAAGGAUCGCUCUGCGGCCUAUCAGGUAGUAGUGGGUGUAAGGUACCCCCUAGCCUACGACGGGUAUGGGCCUUGAGAGAGGGAGCCCAGAGUUGGAUUCUGAGACACGAAUCCAGGCCCUACGGGGCGCAGCAGUCGCGAAAACUUCACACUGGGGGAAACCCCGAUGAGGGAGAUCCUAGUGCUAGGACAUUUGUUCUAGCUUUUCUCAAGCGUAGAUAACUUGAGGAAUAAGGGCUGGGUAAGACGGGUGCCAGCCGCCGCGGUAAUACCUGCAGCCCAAGUGGUGGUCGAUUUUAUUGAGUCUAAAACGUUCGUAGCCGGUUUGAUAAAUCUUUGGGUAAAUCGGGAAGCUUAACUUUCCGACUUCCGAAGAGACUGUCAAACUUGGGACCGGGAGAGGCUAGAGGUACUUCUGGGGUAGGGGUAAAAUCCUGUAAUCCUAGAAGGACCACCGGUGGCGAAGGCGUCUAGCUAGAACGGAUCCGACGGUGAGGGGCGAAGCCCUGGGUCGCAAACGGGAUUAGAUACCCCGGUAGUCCAGGGUGUAAACGCUGCAGACUUGGUGUUGGAGGCCCUUCGGGGGCAUUCAGUGCCGGAGAGAAGUUGUUAAGUCUGCUACUUGGGGAGUACGUCCGCAAGGAUGAAACUUAAAGGAAUUGG
rnacentral:rRNA from 1 species